CCUACGGGAGGCAGCAGUGAGGAAUAUUGGUCAAUGGGCGCGAGCCUGAACCAGCCAAGUAGCGUGAAGGAUGACUGCCCUACGGGUUGUAAACUUCUUUUAUAAAGGAAUAAAGUGAGGCACGUGUGCCUGUUGGGAUGUACGUUAUGAAUAAGGAUCGGCUAACUCCGGGCCAGCAGCCGCGGUAAUACGGAGGAUCCGAGCGUUAUCCGGAUUUAUGGGGUGUAAAGGGAGCGUAGAUGGGUGUAUAAGUCAGUUGUGAAAGUUUGCGGCUCAACCGUAAAAUUGGCAUUGAUACUGGCAGUCUUGAGUACAGUUGAGGUAGGCGGAAUUCGUGGUGUAGCGGUGAAAUGCUUAGAUAUCACGAAGAACUCCGAUUGCGAAGGCAGCUUACUAAACUGCCACUGACAUUGAUGCUCGAAAGUGUGGGUAUCAAACAGGAUUAGAUACCCUUGUAGUC
rnacentral:rRNA from 1 species